rnacentral:rRNA from 1 species
CCUACGGGAGGCAGCAGUGGGGAAUUUUCCGCAAUGGGCGAAAGCCUGACGGAGCAAUACCGCGUGAGGGAGGAAGGCUUUUGGGUCGUAAACCUCUUUUGUCAGGGAAGAACACAAUGACGGUACCUGACGAAUCAGCAUCGGCUAACUCCGUGCCAGCAGCCGCGGUAAUACGGAGGAUGCAAGCGUUAUCCGGAAUUAUUGGGCGUAAAGCGUCCGCAGGUGGUUAAUCAAGUCUGCUGUUAAAGCGCGGAGCUUAACUUCGUAAAGGCGGUGGAAACUGCGAGGCUAGAGUACGGUAGGGGUAGCGGGAAUUCCCAGUGUAGCGGUGAAAUGCGUAGAUAUUGGGAAGAACACCAGCGGCGAAAGCGCGCUACUGGGCUGUAACUGACACUGAGGGACGAAAGCCAGGGGAGCGAAUGGGAUUAGAUACCCCUGUAGUC